rnacentral:rRNA from 1 species
GCGCGGGGGGUGGCUAGGGGAGAGCGGCGCUCCGCGGUCAGCCCAGCUCACCUUCACCGGCAGGGCCAAAAAUGAUUCACCAGAAGCGCUCUUCCGGUAGGAAUCUCUUCCCAGCCGACUUUACCUACCUUAACCCGGCGGCACCACUGUGUCAGGCGCUAGCCCACUAAAACAGCGCUCGGAGGAGGCCCUCCCAGCGGCACUUAAAAAGAUUCACGCUCCGACGCAGGGGGUCAACCGAAACCAAUGGAGUACGUCCAGCUCGCGCGGGGGCGCCGCGCGCAGUGCGUAGUCUGGAGA